GUGCCAGCAGCCGCGGUAAUACGGAGGGUGCAAGCGUUAUCCGGAUUCACUGGGUUUAAAGGGUGCGUAGGCGGCUAAUUAAGUCAGCGGUGAAAUUCCAGAGCUCAACUCUGUGAACUGCCAUUGAUACUGGUUGGCUUGAGUACAGAUGAGGUAGGCGGAAUUGACAGUGUAGCGGUGAAAUGCUUAGAUAUUGUCAAGAACACCUAUUGCGAAGGCAGCUUACUAAACUGUAACUGACGCUGAGGCACGAAAGCGUGGGGAGCAAACGGGAUUAGAAACCCUGGUAGUCC
rnacentral:rRNA from 1 species